rnacentral:rRNA from 1 species
UACAGAGGUCUCAAGCGUUGUUCGGAUUCAUUGGGCGUAAAGGGUGCGUAGGCGGCGCGGUAAGUCGGGUGUGAAAUCUCGGGGCUUAACUCCGAAACUGCAUUCGAUACUGCCGUGCUUGAGGACUGGAGAGGAGACUGGAAUUUACGGUGUAGCGGUGAAAUGCGUAGAUAUCGUAAGGAAGACCAGUGGCGAAGGCGACUCACUGGACAACUGUUGACGCUGAGGUGCGAAAGCGUGGGGAGCAAACAGG